rnacentral:rRNA from 1 species
GACGAACGCUGGCGGCGUGCCUAAUACAUGCAAGUAGGACGCACAGUUUAUACCGUAGCUUGCUACACCAUAGACUGUGAGUUGCGAACGGGUGAGUAACGCGUAGGUAACCUGCCUAUUAGAGGGGGAUAACUAUUGGAAACGAUAGCUAAUACCGCAUAACAGUAUGUAACACAUGUUAGAUGCUUGAAAGAUGCAAUUGCAUCGCUAGUAGAUGGACCUGCGUUGUAUUAGCUAGUAGGUAGGGUAAAGGCCUACCUAGGCAACGAUACAUAGCCGACCUGAGAGGGUGAUCGGCCACACUGGGACUGAGACACGGCCCAGACUCCUACGGGAGGCAGCAGUAGGGAAUCUUCGGCAAUGGGGGGAACCCUGACCGAGCAACGCCGCGUGAGUGAAGAAGGUUUUCGGAUCGUAAAGCUCUGUUGUUAAGGAAGAACGAGUGUGAGAAUGGAAAGUUCAUGCUG